CCUACGGGAGGGCUGCAGUGGGGAAUAUUGGACAAUGGGGGCAACCCUGAUCCAGCCAUGCCGCGUGUGUGAAGAAGGCCCUCGGGUUGUAAAGCACUUUCAGUGAGGAAGAACGCCUGGUGGUUAAUACCCAUCAGGAAAGACAUCACUCACAGAAGAAGCACCGGCUAACUCCGUGCCAGCAGCCGCGGUAAUACGGAGGGUGCGAGCGUUAAUCGGAAUUACUGGGCGUAAAGCGCGCGUAGGUGGCUUGAUAAGCCGGUUGUGAAAGCCCCGGGCUCAACCUGGGAACGGCAUCCGGAACUGUCAAGCUAGAGUGCAGGAGAGGAAGGUAGAAUUCCCGGUGUAGCGGUGAAAUGCGUAGAGAUCGGGAGGAAUACCAGUGGCGAAGGCGGCCUUCUGGACUGACACUGACACUGAGGUGCGAAAGCGUGGGUAGCAAACAGGAUUAGAUACCCUGGUAGUC
rnacentral:rRNA from 1 species